GCCGCCAUCUAGACACACUUUCGUGUUACGUCAAUCUUCGCGAAAAGAAUGUAUAUUUACGUGUGAUCUAUAUAUGUGAGAAUCUAUACAUAUCUCCGAAUUGGCGGACGGAAAUGGACGGAUAACCAAUGAAUAUGAUGUCAGAUUUCGCGCUUACCGCGUGGUAUAUAACGUAAAGUCGAGUAUUUCGCAUCGAAUAUAAAUUUUUUUUUAUUGCCGAUGCAAAGACGUCGAGGAUGUAAGGAAGCAUCGUGAAAAAGAAUUCACCUAUCGGUGAACGUGAGCUCAGCAUCGACGUCUGCCGUCUGACAUCCCGUUUGUUUUAGGUUAUAAAAUCUGAUCGUGAUAUUUCCUCGACGAGUAAAACAAAAUGGCAGAACAACAACAAACACCUCCUGGUUUUAAACAUAUGUCAUUGGAUAAGAUUAUCGAAGCUAUGACUGCUGAUUUAGAAAGUUCAAGCGGUCAUUAUGUUCAGUUUGGCGUUACCCCGCAGCAAGCCACCUCUCAUAAUUGGAACGAUUAUACACCUGGACAAGCCAGACAUCACAUCCCCAGUCAACCAACGCAUCCUAAUUCUUCUGGAAUGCAACCGAUCACUCCAAUGACCACUUCUUUGUAUAUGCGAGAUAUGCCGGGUUAUGAAGCCGCACCUGCCGAGUCGAUUUACUUUCCACCGCGGACAGUAAAUCACUUGGGCAUCAAUGAGAAUAAUGAUUUAAUUGGUACUAUCGAUGUCGGAGGUGGAAAUUAUAUCAAUGUUAUUUAUGGAAAUGCUUCCCAGAUUAUGGCUGAGCAAUGUCAGCUUCCAAACAUAACACCAUAUGCUAAUCAAGGCAUUGUUGAUCAAGAGUAUGGUCUGUUUAAUGAUCAACAUAUGACUAUACCAUCUGAAUUACCGAGUCAAAAUUUUAAUGGAAAACAGUUAAUUGACAAUUUAGUUGGCAAUUGGGUACCAAAUCAGUCUGGAACGUAUAGUCCAUUUGGCGGAUCUCCCAAUAUCACACCUGUACCACAAUCUGUACCGGAUAUAAGAGAAACUGAUGAAUUACCUAGAAAUAUAUCAGAUUCUCAAUAUAAAAAACCAAGGAUGGUGGCAGAAGUAAAACCUAUGCGACCUUCUUACUCUGAUGUUUUGACAAAAUCUGCCCCAACACCGCCAUCUCCGUUAACAAUCCAAUCUACAAAGCCAAAAAUUGAAAUAGCAGGUAAGAAAGUGUCUAAUAAAAAUACAAAAAACAAGAACAAACCUGCAUCAUUGAAAAGACAGAAUUCAUCUGGCAGCGAUGAUCACAAUUCUCCAAAGAUGCAAAUUCCUAGAAAAGUUUUAGAAAAAAAUUCUUCUAAUCUUCCAAGGCGAUGGGUGUCUUUGGAUAAUCUUGGCUCGCCAUCCGAUUCUCGUCAGAUAAAUGCUUUUGACAGAUCUGAUCAAUUUUGCUCAGAAAAAAAGAAACCUGUCAAACUGUCUAAGAAAACGGAAAAAAACGAGACUCUUAAUAACACUAAAAUACAAAACAAUAAUCCCAAAACUUCAGGAAAUAUUCCAAAACGUCCAAUACAAAUAAACAACAAUUUAAACACGAUUAAUACAUCCAGUCAGACGGUAUCGUCCGAAAAAAUUGAAAAGAAUCAACAAGUUAUUAAUAAGAGUAUCAGUAAAGAAGAUAAAAAGGUUAUCAAGGAGAAGAAUCCUAAACGUCUUCAGGCUGAGAAGGCUCAACAGAUUAAAAAGGGGCAAAGGAAUAGAAAAAGAGAAAAUCGAGAAUCUUCUGUUAAGGAUUUAUGUAGAAAUUUAAAUAAAUAUGCAACUCGUUGGAGUAAAGUUGUAUUGAAAAUCUUUUAUUGGUUACUACAUUUGAUUUCUGAUGUAGUUAGUAUGAGCGCAAACUUGGUUAUUCAGCUUGGUAAAUGUGCUUGGUAUCAUACUAUACUUUAUUUAAAAUAUUCGUGGAUGUAUAUGGCUGUGACAUUUUCUAAAAUUCGUAUUUUAAACGCUAUCGGUAAACAAUUAGAUUAUUGGUUUGGAAGUAGUAAAUUUGCAUUCUGGCGAAAGAUAAAUAAUAAAAAAAAUGAAGAAAAAGAGGAUAAUGGCAACUGGAUUCAUGGUGGCCUAGAAACCAAUAUUGCGUUACCUAGUACUGGGGAGGAAGCCAUGAAAAGAUUACUAGCGUGCAAGGGAAAGGAUCCUUACAGCAUACUCGGCGUUACACCAACGUGUUCGGAUGAUGAUAUUAAAAAAUAUUACAAGAGACAAGCCGUUUUAGUCCACCCGGAUAAAAAUAAUCAGCCAGGAGCAGAAGAAGCAUUCAAAAUUCUUGUACAUGCCUUUGAUAUCAUUGGAGAACCGGAACGUAGGCAAGCAUUUGAUCAGACUAGGCAAGUUGAAGCAGCUUGGGGCGAAUUAAGUGAUUUGUUGUCUCAACUCCAUCGGAAAAUGGAGCAGGCAGCAAACACAAUAAGAUGUACGAAUUGUGGUUUACGACACAAACGCAUUCCUACGCAACGUCCCUGUUACGCUGCACGAUUUUGCGCUCAGUGCAAGAUACGUCACAGUGCGAAAGAAGGUGAUAUUUGGGCAGAAUCUCGUUUAAUGGGUUUUCUAUGGCACUAUUAUGCGUGCAUGGAAGGGGCAGUGUAUGACGUGACAGACUGGGCUGCUUGCCAAGCUGGUAAUCUUAAGCAUCUUAGAGCAAACACUCAUAGUGUCCAGUAUAGAAUUGUCUUAGGGCAAAGAUUACCGUCUCAAACGUCAAGCACUGGUAAAAAACGGCAACAAGAUCCUAAUACAAGCGAAGCGGAUUUCGAGGAUUUUCUAAACAAUCUCUACAAUCAUAGCAAAUCUGCCGGUGCUAAUACAUCGGGGGAUCAAAACUCUUUUAGAGGAGAUUGCAGACGACGUAAAACUAAGCGUAAGAAGUAGAUAAAUAGCUGAUGACAGUUGAUGACAAACUUCUGAAUAUUUGAUAUUGACAAUGUAUAAUUUACGAAGCGUGCAUUAUAAAUGCAUAUUACACACACUCUUAAAUUUAUGUUAUCUAUAAACAAUUAACUCUAGCAUGUAGAUAUUACAAAUGUUCUCAUAAAAACUCACUAAUAUUUGACUGAUACACAAUAUGAGAUUAUGAAAGAUUGUGUUCACAAGAAUAAUACGUAUAAACAUCAUCGUGUGCAGUAAAUAUUAACAUAGAAUGUGGAAUUGAUUGGCAUAAUUAAGAAAUUCGAAAAGGUUAUAAAAUAAUGGAUAAAGAGAUGCCAAAUAAUCAUUGUAGGAAAAAAAAACAUUAUAUUGCAAAGUUAUAUCUGAACAUUUGAAAUGUUUUGAUAUAUGCAUUUAGACAGCUUACAUAGCUAUUUAUAAUAUGCAAAAUUUUAUGUU